UACGAAGGGUGCAAUCGUUGCUCGGAAUUAUUGGGCGUAAAGCGCACGUAGGCGGCAUAGCAAGUCGGAUGUGAAAUCCCUCGGCUCAACCAAGGAAGUGCAUCCGAAACUGCUGUGCUUGAGGAACCUAGAGGUGAGCAGAACUGAUGGUGGAGCGGUGAAAUGCGUUGAUAUCAUCAGGAAUACCGGAGGCGAAGGCGGCUCACUGGGGGUUUUCUGACGCUGAGGGACGAAAGCCAGGGUAGCGAACGGG
rnacentral:rRNA from 1 species